rnacentral:rRNA from 1 species
GAACCUGGAGAUAGCUGGUUCUCUCCGAAAUAGCUUUAGGGCUAGCCUCAAGUGAUGAUUAUUGGAGGUAGAGCACUGUUUGGACGAGGGGCCCCUCUCGGGUUACCGAAUUCAGACAAACUCCGAAUGCCAAUUAAUUUAACUUGGGAGUCAGAACAUGGGUGAUAAGGUCCGUGUUCGAAAGGGAAACAGCCCAGACCACCAGCUAAGGUCCCAAAAUAUAUGUUAAGUGGAAAAGGAUGUGGCGUUGCCCAGACAACUAGGAUGUUGGCUUAGAAGCAGCCAUCAUUUAAAGAGUGCGUAAUAGCUCACUAGUCGAGUGACACUGCGCCGAAAAUGUACCGGGGCUAAACAUAUUACCGAAGCUGUGGAUUGUCCUUUGGACAAUGGUAGGAGAGCGUUCUAAGGGCGUUGAAGCAUGAUCGUAAGGACAUGUGGAGCGCUUAGAAGUGAGAAUGCCGGUGUGAGUAGCGAAAGACGGGUGAGAAUCCCGUCCACCGAUUGACUAAGGUUUCCAGAGGAAGGCUCGUCCGCUCUGGGUUAGUCGGGUCCUAAGCUGAGG